UAUUAAUCAGCAUCAUCAUCCCUCCACCAACAGAAAAACAGCUGAGGCCAACAAGAAUUGACUUUUAGGAAUGAUGUUUGUGCCAUAUGAUAAGUAACAACUACUUAAGUUGUGACCUGCAGCAGAUAUUUUAGUCAAUAUUUCACCAUUGUAAAGCCCUGCAGCUGAAGAGUCUCAGAAAAUGCUAAGUAUUUUACUGCUUUACCAUAGCUUAUAAUAUAUAUGAUUAAAGGUUUACCACAGCUUAUAUAAAAUUUUGUUUAAAGGUACUAUAAUUGAC